rnacentral:snRNA from 1 species
ACGGGCCCAGAGUCACGC